rnacentral:rRNA from 1 species
GACGAACGCUGGCGGCGUGCUUAACACAUGCGAGUCGAACGGAAAGGCCCUGCUUUUGUGGGGUGCUCGAGUGGCGAACGGGUGAGUAACACGUGAGUAACCUGCCCUUGACUUUGGGAUAACUUCAGGAAACUGGGGCUAAUACCGGAUAGGAGCUCCUGCUGCAUGGUGGGGGUUGGAAAGUUUCGGCGGUUGGGGAUGGACUCGCGGCUUAUCAGCUUGUUGGUGGGGUAGUGGCUUACCAAGGCUUUGACGGGUAGCCGGCCUGAGAGGGUGACCGGCCACAUUGGGACUGAGAUACGGCCCAGACUCCUACGGGGGGCAGCAGUGGGGAAUAUUGCACAAUGGGCGGAAGCCUGAUGCAGCAACGCCGCGUGCGGGAUGACGGCCUUCGGGUUGGAAACCGCUUUCGCCUGUGACGAAGCGUGAGUGACGGUAAUGGGUAAAGAAGCACCGGCUAACUACGUG